rnacentral:tRNA from 1 species
AUUUUAAUAGCUUAAAAUAAAGCGAAGCGUUGAAGGUGCUUAAAUCAUUUAAUGUUAAAAUA